ACUGUUUUCAUACUUGGUAGCAUGAAUUCAAUUCGGAGUAAACCUGUUUGAAUCUAAAAGGGUGAUGAAUUGGGUUUCGAAAUCAAACUUAAAAAUAAUUUAACUUUGAAUUUGAUUUAUCUUAAAUCAUUUUUAUACAAACAAGUCCAAUACUUAGCCCCUUUAAGCCAAUCAUUGAUCAGAACUGGAGCCUCAAAUCCACCCUGGCCCUGCUGGUUGGUUUUUUGAUGUUUUGCCUUGGAAUGAAAACGUACCUUCCUCCAGCCAUAACAAAGAAGUUGCUUAAAGGGGCCACUAUUUUCCAAUCAAAGAAUUCAAUAUAUGCUUUUAAAAUUACAAGGCUAACUUUGAUUGAAUAUGGCAAAAUAAUUCUGGAAUAUUAGGUGCUUGCAGUUAAAAAUGGUGGAUUUUCAAUUUACAAAAAAUAAAACGAACUCAACUCUGUAUCCGUUUCUCUGAAAUUGAGUUUCAGGGUUUACCAGUUCAAGUUUUACUUGGGCAAGACUUUUGAAGUCCAAGUGCCUUCUUUCCAAUUCGAGUUUGGUGUUCUGGCUUACCCAUACUUCCCUAGCAAAAAGGAAGGGUUUCCAGAAUCAUAUCUUUAGACAGUGUGUGUUUCAUUUUUGUUUUGUUGCAUUCUGUCUUUUGGAUUCAAAUUCCUCAAACUUGAAAAGAAGUUGAUGGAUAGCACAAGGGUGCAUGUGGAUAUCUCACAUUGCUUGGGCAUGAUAAAGCUUGUGAGCUCCUAUCAAACAUUGUUAGGUCUUAGGUAAUUCCCUGUCUGUAAACCUGAAGAGUAGUGGCCUCUUUUGGCAACUAGUUUCUACUAUUUCUUCCCUAAUAUAGGGAAUAUGUAAAUAAAAAUUUGUUAGGACAAAUGUAAUUGCAAUAAAAACAACAUAAAAUUACAUUAAA